CGGUUUUAAUUGGGGCCCAAUAAUUCGUGGGGAUUCAGAUCUCCAUCAGAUCUUUCUGCAAUGGAUUACGGAAACAACUUCAAGAUUCUGACACUUAUGGUUUAGUCAAAAAGGUCAACAAUCGAAAAGGAGAUAUUAUAAUGGCGUUAAGGAUUUUGAUGGUUUGGACCGAAUUUUCAAGAGGUGGAAGGAUCGUGGUUAUAAUACCAGUAAUAAAAUGA